GACGAACGCUGGCGGCGUGCUUAACACAUGCAAGUCGAACGGAAAGGCCCUGCUUUUGUGGGGUGCUCGAGUGGCGAACGGGUGAGUAACACGUGAGUAACCUGCCCUUGACUUUGGGAUAACUUCAGGAAACUGGGGCUAAUACCGGAUAGGAGCUCCUGCUGCAUGGUGGGGGUUGGAAAGUUUCGGCGGUUGGGGAUGGACUCGCGGCUUAUCAGCUUGUUGGUGGGGUAGUGGCUUACCAAGGCUUUGACGGGUAGCCGGCCUGAGAGGGUGACCGGCCACAUGGGGACUGAGAUACGGCCCAGACUCCAACGGGGGGCAGCAGGGGGGAAUAUUGCACAAUGAGCGGGAGCCUGAUGCAGCGACGCCGCGUGCGGGAUGACGGCCUUCGGGUUGUGAACCGCUUUCGCCUGUGACGAAGCGUGAGUGACGGUAAUGGGUAAAGAAGCACCGGCUAACUACGUG
rnacentral:rRNA from 1 species